GACGAAGGGGGCUAGCGUUGUUCGGAAUUACUGGGCGUAAAGCGUGCGCAGGCGGUGCACCAAGCUCGAUGUGAAAGCCCCGGGCUUAACCUGGGAAUUGCAUUGAGGACUGGUGUGCUCGAGUGCGGCAGAGGGGGGUGGAAUUCCACGUGUAGCAGUGAAAUGCGUAGAGAUGUGGAGGAACACCGAUGGCGAAGGCAGCCCCCUGGGCCGACACUGACGCUCAUGCACGAAAGCGUGGGGAGCAAACAGG
rnacentral:rRNA from 1 species